rnacentral:rRNA from 1 species
AUUGAACGCUGGCGGCAGGCCUAACACAUGCAAGUCGAGCGGCUCGGCGGACGGGUGAGUGAUGCCUAUGUAUGUGACUGGUCGUGGGGGAUGGCGACCGGAACUGGACGCUAUUACAGCAUCCUCUCAGCUUCGCCUGGGCCGGAUUAGCUAGUUGGUGGGGUAAGGGCCUACCAAGGCGACGAUCCGUAACUGGUCUGAGUGGAUGAGCAGUCACACUGGAACUGAGACACGGUCCAGACUCCUACGGGAGGCAGCAGUGGGGAAUAUUGGACAAUGGGCGAAAGCCUGAUGCAGCCAUGCCGCGUGUGUGAAGAAGGCCUUCGGGUUGUAAAGCACUUUAAGUUGGGAGGCGUUACCAACAGAAUAAGCACCGGCUAACUUCGUGCCAGCCGCCGCGGUAAUUC